UUCAAGUAAUCCAGGAUAGGCUGUCCUGCCGUUCGGCCUGUUCUCCAUUACUUGGCUC
rnacentral:pre_miRNA from 1 species